AGAUAGGUUGCAGUAGGCGUGGCCAAUUAUCACGUCCGCCAUGUUGGAGUACAACCCGGAGUACAAGAGCUAAUGAGCUGGAACAGAAACGCUGAUUGAUUGAUCUAGGUAGCUCUGGCAGUGACAAAGAGAAAAAAGAAACAGAUGAAGCAAUAGUUGACUACUCAGGCUGUGCAUGACACCUGAAGACCUGGAAACUAACUAGACUAAUUAGUACUGCAUUGACUUUCAGUAUUGUCCACACACAACAAAUACAUAUUCAUUCUUGUUUUGGUUUUAAAAGAGGAGCCUGGGAACAGUA
rnacentral:lncRNA from 1 species